UACGUAGGUGGCAAGCGUUGUCCGGAAUUAUUGGGCGUAAAGCGCGCGCAGGCGGUCCUUUAAGUCUGAUGUGAAAGCCCUCGGCUCAACCGAGGAGGGUCAUUGGAAACUGGAGGACUUGAGUGCAGAAGAGGAAAGUGGAAUUCCAAGUGUAGCGGUGAAAUGCGUAGAGAUUUGGAGGAACACCAGUGGCGAAGGCGACUUUCUGGUCUGUAACUGACGCUGAGGCGCGAAAGCGUGGGGAGCAAAC
rnacentral:rRNA from 1 species